ACGGGUGAGUAACGCGUGAGAACAUGCCCUUAGGUUCGGGACAACAGUUGGAAACGACUGCUAAUACCGAAUGUGCCGAGAGGUGAAAGAUUAAUUGCCUAGGGAUUGGCUCGCGUCAGAUUAGCUAGUUGGUGGAGUAACGGUUUACCAAGGCGACGAUCUGUAACUGGUCUGAGAGGAUGACCAGUCACACUGGGACUGAGACACGGCCCAGACUCCUACGGGAGGCAGCAGUGGGGAAUUUUCCGCAAUGGGCGAAAGCCUGACGGAGCAAUACCGCGUGAGGGAGGAAGGCUUUUGGGUUGUAAACCUCUUUUAUCAGGGAAGAAGAUCUGACGGUACCUGAUGAAUCAGCAUCGGCUAACUCCGUGCCAGCAGCCGCGGUAAUACGGAGGAUGCAAGCGUUAUCCGGAAUUAUUGGGCGUAAAGCGUCCGUAGGUGGCUAAUCAAGUCUGCUGUCAAAGCGUGGAGCUUAACUCCAUAUCGGCGGUGGAAACUGAUGAGCUAGAGUGCGAUAGGGGUAGCAGGAAUUCCCAGUGUAGCGGUGAAAUGCGUAGA
rnacentral:rRNA from 1 species